GCCAGCUCCCUCCCCCUACCCUCAUGCUCCAAAUUAGCUUAGGAGAUCCUGGUCCUUCCCAUUCUCCGGGGUUCCUGCCAUUUUUAAUAGACUCAAAGUAACAUAGAAAUUAUCUUUCUCAGAUCUCUGAUAGUAUUGAUGGUUGGGCUAGCUAUAACUUUGUCAACUUGGCAGCAUCAGGCAGCCUUGAUAGGGCUCCUAAAUAAGGAUCUGAGAAUAUAAAGACAUGUAAGUCUUAAGGGUAUAAAAAUAAUUUAAAAUAUAAAAGUUCAGAGCUUAAUAUUUAAUAAAGUUCUGAUAAGCUGGUAGAGCGGUGGCUACCUGCUGUUCAGUCACAAGCUCAAGGUUUUAAGAUUUAUUUUGGUUGUCAUCUAAGUAUAAACAUAAAGGGCUUUUCAUCAGGCCUAAGGCACCUCUGUCCACACUAUACCUGGAUCUCUCUGGACAGAAGAAAAAUGUGCAAGCUUCUAACCCAAAUCUGUAGUUUUUUCUAGGACUCAAAGGUAUAAGUAUAUUCCUGAUGUUUUACAGAUACCCAAUAUCUGUUUUUUUCUGCAAUGUGUGUUUUAGUACAGAUUGGUAAUGAUAAUACGUCUAAAACUUUUAUGUCCUUUUAUAUAAUAAAGUUCAUAUAGGUUUCAGAGGAUCAAAAGUCAUAAAGCUUGGAACCACUUCUCACAGAUCAAAAGGACUCCAGAUAAGUAAAGCUUUUGCUACCCCACCUGCCUGUUCCUGAGGUUGGGAUUUUUUCCCCUGGUCUUGGGACUCCUGUCCUUCUUGAUCACUAAAACUAUAGGCCUAAGAGUUCCAAUUAAGUAUAUAAGUUUUAACUUCUGUUCCCAGUUUAAACAUGUCUCAACAGAUUUUCCCUUCUGGCAGAGGAGCAUCAGUUGCUGACUGAACCCUGCUCCUAAAGACUGCAAGCUCUGGACUUGCUGUGGGUGUGAACCAGCCCAACCAAUGUGAACACUCCCUGUAUCUUCAACAGAGUAUGCAAACUAGAUACCCCAUUUCCUGAAUCCCCUUUUUUGCUUUUGACCAGCAUUUCAGCCUUCUUGGGGCCCCAGACAACACCCCAAAAGUCAGCAGGAAGUAGUUCAGGAAAGACUUUGUCACCUCCUUUCCCUGGUUGAGAUGCAAAGUUAAAAGGAAACUCCCAUACAUAGGGGACAUGAUUACAAUAGAUACAAAUUUACUAUUGUGCACCCCAAACUUCCCCAGAGUUUUUAAAAUUGUCUACUGGUAACCCAAGAGUGGGUUACCUAUAAGAAAAGGGGAAAAUGAAGGACCAAAAAUUAAAAUUAAUAAAAGUUUAAAAACUUGGGCCCAGAAAAGGGAACUUUUGUUGUUGUUGUUGUUAUUUUCUUUUUUUCCGAGACAGGGUUUCUCUGUGGCUUUGGAACUUCUAAGAUAGGGGAUGUCGUCGCUGGUGCCUGAGCCCCGCUCUUAGAGAAGGAGAGGUAUUUUCUAUCUUGCAAAAUGUUCAGUUGUCUCUUGAAAAGAACAUGCAUGUCAGCUGCACUCCUACACCCCUGGUACUAUGAAAGAUUUUGGAACACUUUCAUUUAACAUGAAGAGGUAGGGACUGAAAUCCAAAUCUAUAUUUGAACUUCUUAUAUGUUUCAUCUCUACCUUACAUCUUAACUUGAAGGUAUCUUUGAGUAUUCUGUGGGGUCCCAGUGGGAAACCGCAUAGCAAAGACUGGAGGAUUUCCCUUCUGACCCUAGAAGAUCCUGGAUUCCCUGAGCAUUGAUGGGAGGGAUUUGAUGGAUAAUCAAUAGCCAAUCAACAAACAACUGAUGACCAAUAAUCAAUCAACAAAUGACCAACAGUCAAUCAAUAAUCAACUACUGAACAAACAACCAAUAAUCUGCCAAUUACCAAUAAUAAGCCAAUCAACAAACAGCUGAUAGUUCAUUGAUAAUCAAUAGUCAAUCAACAAAUGACUGAUAGUUGGUGAUCAAUAGUCAAUAAUCAAUAGUCAAUAGUCAAUAUAUGAUCAAUGCUCAAUCAACUAAUGAUAGUCAAUAAUCAGUAGUCAAUCAAUAAAUGACCAAUAGUCGAUAAUGAAUGGUCAAUAACUAACCACUCAACAGUCAAUAAUCCAUUGAUUACCAAUAGUCAAUCAAUAAUCAAUAGUAAAUCAACAAAUGACCCGUAGUCAGUCGAUAAUCAAUAGUUGUGGUGAUAUAUAUGAUUUAUUAAAGCUUGCCUGAGGAUUCAGAAAGCACAGCCAGGCUCAAGCUGUAGAAUCAGGUGGUGGUGGUGAUACACACCUUUAAUCCCAGGACUCAGGAUUAUAAGGGAGAUGGAUCUCUGAGUCCAAGACCACUCUGGGCUACCAGAGAGUGAAUCAGAGCUCACUCCUUUAAUCUCAGGAUUUUAAAGGUAUAAAAGGAAGAGGCAUUCAGUCUAAGACUUAGUCUCUAGCCACGUUGAGGAGAGCAUAGCAGUUUGAGUGAAUCUGAGGAGCAGUGAAGUCUGGAGGUCUGUACAGACAGGGAAGUGAAAUGGCUGAGCACAAACGAAGUGAGAUGGUUGGGUGGAGAAAGGAUAUAAGCGGGAAGAAAUAGGAACUCACUCUCUUGUCUGCUGAGACACUAAGAGGUAAAGGUGGAUUUGCCUUGCUCCUUCUCUCUGAUCUCUCAGCAUUUUCCUCUAUAUCUGACUCCGGGAUUUAUUAUUUAGAUAAUUAAGAAUUCCAUUUACAAAUAGUCAUUCAACAAACAGCUGACAGUCACUCAAUAAUCAAUACUCAAUCAACAAACAACCAAUGGUCAAUCAAUAUUCAACAAUUAGCAAAUGACCAGCAGCGAAUCAAUAAUCAGUAGUCAACAAAGAAUCAAUCUAUUGGAGUCCAUCUCCGGCAGGGUUCUUGUGCCACAGGAAGGAUGUAUGAAGUUGGCAAAAAAUGAAGAGUCUGACCACUGGUUGUCUUUCAAACUGAUGACCCUAGCUCAGGCUGUCUUUAUUUCUACAGGUUCUAAUGCAUUCAAGCUUGAGCAGUUUCAAGUCAUUUCUCUUUAGUCAUUGUCCAAGAAUCAUUAACAUUUUAGUUUCUCUUCUUUCCCACUUAUUCAUACUGUGACCUAGUUGGCAACAAACAUGUGGUUACAAAGUAAGAUACUUAAUCCCAGUGAUUAUCUUUUAACAAUAUGAAAUCAGAUGAAUAGAUUGUGAUGCCUAGCACAUCAUUUUUUAGGUGUAUACCAGUUUCUGAGUAAUCUGUAUGUCACCUUUAUUAUAUGGAUUGCAGUGAUAAUCCUAUUAUAAGUUCUCAAAAGAAUAAUGAUCAAUAUCUAACUCUUUAACAUUGA